rnacentral:rRNA from 1 species
AGCGAACGCUGGCGGCAGGCCUAACACAUGCAAGUCGAACGAACUCUUCGGAGUUAGUGGCGGACGGGUGAGUAACACGUGGGAACGUGCCUUUAGGUUCGGAAUAACUCAGGGAAACUUGAGCUAAUACCGAAUGUGCCCUUCGGGGGAAAGAUUUAUCGCCUUUAGAGCGGCCCGCGUCUGAUUAGCUUGUUGGUGAGGUAAUGGCUCACCAAGGCUACGAUCAGUAGCUGGUCUGAGAGGAUGACCAGCCACAUUGGGACUGAGACACGGCCCAAACUCCUACGGGAGGCAGCAGUGGGGAAUCUUGCGCAAUGGGCGAAAGCCUGACGCAGCCAUGCCGCGUGUAUGAUGAAGGUCUUAGGACUGUAAAAUACUUUCACCGGUGAAGAUAAUGACUGUAGCCGGAGAAGAAGCCCCGGCUAACUUCGUGCCAGCAGCCGCCGUAAUAC